CCUUAAAGUGGCUCAGUUGGUGGAGCAUUGUGUUAAUAACGCAAAGGUUGUGGUUUCAAAUUCCAGGGAAAGCA